rnacentral:rRNA from 1 species
UACGUAGGGUGCGAGCGUUAAUCGGAAUUACUGGGCGUAAAGCGUGCGCAGGCGGUUCGUUGUGUCGGCGGUGAAAGCCCCGGGCUCAACCUGGGAAUGGCCGUUGAAACUGGCGAACUGGAGUGUGGCAGAGGGGGGUGGAAUUCCGCGUGUAGCAGUGAAAUGCGUAGAUAUGCGGAGGAACACCGAUGGCGAAGGCAAUCCCCUGGGCCUGUACUGACGCUCAUGCACGAAAGCGUGGGGAGCAAACAGG